rnacentral:rRNA from 1 species
GAUGAACGCUAGCGACAGGCCUAACACUGCAAGUCGAGGGGCAGCACGGUGUAGCAAUACACGGGUGGCGACCGGCGCACGGGUGAGUAACGCGUAUGCAACCUGCCUACUACAAGGGGAUUAACCCGUUGAAAGACGGACUAAUACCCUAUAACACAGGGAAUCCGCAUGGAUAUAUUUGUUAAAGAUUUAUCGGUAGUAGAUGGGCAUGCGUUCCAUUAGCUUGUUGGUGAGGUAACGGCUCACCAAGGCAACGAUGGAUAGGGGAACUGAGAGGUUGAUCCCCCACACUGGAACUGAGACACGGUCCAGACUCCUACGGGAGGCAGCAGUGAGGAAUAUUGGUCAAUGGACGAGAGUCUGAACCAGCCAAGUCGCGUGAAGGAAGACGGCCCUACGGGUUGUAAACUUCUUUUGUAAGGGAAUAAAUAGUCUUACGCGCUAAGACGUUGCAGGUACCUUACGAAUAAGGAUCGGCUAACUCCGUG